AAAGUUCAGUUUAUGGUUUAAAACCCUAAUACUGACUGGCUGGAAAGAGUUCAUUUUAGGGUUUAAAACCCUAAUGCUGACUGAAUGGAAAAAGUUUAGUUUAGGGUUUAAAACCCUAAUGCUGACUAAAGGAAAUAGUUCAGUUUAGGGUUUAAAACCCUAAUGCUGACUAAAGGGAAAAGUUCAGUUUAGGGUUUUAAAACCCUAAUGCUAACUAAAGGAAAGUGUUCAGUUUAAGGUUUAAAAUCCUAAUGCUAACUGAAUGGAAAAAAGUUCAGUUUAGGGUUUAAAACCCUAAUGCUGACUAAAGGAAAAGUUCAGUUUAGGAUUUAAAACCCUAAUACUGACUGGCUGGAAAGAGUUCAGUUUAGGGUUUAAAACCCUAAUGCUGACUGAAUGGAAAAAGUUCAGUUUAGGGUUUAAAACCCUAAUGCUGACUGAAUGGAAAAGUUCUGUUUAGGGUUUAAAACCCUAAUACUGACUGAAGGAAAGAGUUUAGUUUAGGGUUUAAAACCCUAAUGCUGACUAAAGGGAAAGUUUAGUUUAGGGUUUAAAUCCCUAAUACUGACUGGCUGGAAAGAGUUCAGUUUAGGGUUUAAAACCCUAAUGCUGACUGAAUGGAAAAAGUUCAGUUUAGGGUUUUAAAACCCUAAUGCUGACUAAAGGAAAGAGUUCAGUUUAGGGUUUAAAGCCCUAAUGCUGACUAAAGGGAAAGUUCAGUUUAGGGUUUAAAACCCUAAUACUGACUGGCUGGAAAAAGUUCAGUUUAGGGUUUAAAACCCUAAUGCUGACUAAAGGGAAAGUUCAGUUUAGGGUUUAAAACCCUAAUGCUGACUGAAUGGAAAGAGUUCAGUUUAGGGUUUAAAACCCUAAUACUGACUGAAUGGGAAAAAGUUCAGUUUAGGGUUUAAAACCCUAAUGCUGACUAAAAGGAAAGUUCAGUUUAGGGUUUAAAACCCUAAUGCUGACUAAAGGAAAGAGUUCAGUUUAGGGUUUAAAACCCUAAUGCUGACUAAAGGGAAAGUUCAGUUUAGGGUUUAAAACCCUAAUACUGACUGGCUGGAAAGAGUUCAGUUUAGGGUUUAAAACCCUAAUGCUGACUGAAUGGAAAAAGUUCAGUUUAGGGUUUAAAACCCUAAUACUGACUGGAUUGAAAGAGUUCAGUUUAGGGUUUAAAACCCUAAUGCUGACUAAAGGGAAAGUUCAGUUUAGGGUUUAAAACCCUAAUGCUGACUAAAGGGAAAGUUCAGUUUAGGGUUUAAAACCCUAAUACUGACUGGCUGGAAAGAGUUCAAUUUAGGGUUUAAAACCCUAAUGCUGACUGAAUGGAAAAGUUCAGUUUAGGGUUUAAAACCCUAAUACUGUCUGAAAGAAAAAGUUCAGUUUAGGGUUUUAAAACCCUAAUGCUGACUAAAUGAAAGAGUUCAGUUUAGGGUUUAAAACCCUAAUGCUGACUAAAGGGAAAAGUUUAGUUUAGAGUUUUAAGCCCUGAUGCUGACUAAAGGGAAAGUUCAGUUUAGGGUUUAAAACCCUAAUGCUGACUGGCUGGAAAAAAGUUCAGUUUAGGGUUUAAAACCCUAAUACUGACUGGCUGGAAAGAGUUUAGUUUAGGGUUUAAAACCCUAAUACUGACUGAAGGAAAGAGUUCAGUUUAGAGUUUUAAGCCCUAAUGCUGACUAAAGGGAAAGUUCAGUUUAGGGUUUAAAACCCUAAUACUGACUGGCUGGAAAGAGUUCAGUUUAGGGUUUAAAACCCUAAUGCUGACUAAAGGGAAAGUUCAGUUUAGGGUUUUAAAACCCUAAUGCUAACUAAAGGAAAGUGUUCAGUUUAGGGUUUAAAACCCUAAUGCUGAAUGAAUGGAAAAAAGUUCAGUUUAGGGUUUAAAACCCUAAUGCUGACUAAAGGAAAGAGUUCAGUUUAGGGUUUAAAACCCUAAUGCUGACUGAAUGGAAAAAGUUCAGUUUAGGGUUUAAAACCCUAAUGCUGACUAAAGGAAAGAGUUCAGUUUAGGGUUUAAAACCCUAAUGCUGACUAAAGGGAAAAGUUCAGUUUAGGGUUUUAAAACCCUAAUGCUAACUAAAGGAAAGUGUUCAGUUUAGGGUUUAAAACCCUAAUGCUGAAUGAAUGGAAAAAACUUCAGUUUAGGGUUUAAAACCCUAAUGCUGACUAAAGGAAAGAAUUUAGUUUAGGGUUUAAAACCCUAAUGCUGACUAAAUGGAAAAAGUUCAGUUUAGGGUUUUAAAACCCUAAUGCUGACUAAAGGAAAGAGUUCAGUUUAGGGUUUAAAACCCUAAUGCUGACUGAAUGGAAAGAGUUUAGUUUAGGGUUUAAAACCCUAAUACUGACUGAAGGAAAGAGUUCAGUUUAGAGUUUUAAGCCCUAAUGCUGACUAAAGGGAAAGUUUAGUUUAGGGUUUAAAACCCUAAUACUGACUGGCUGGAAAGAGUUCAGUUUAGGGUUUAAAAUCCUAAUGCUGACUAAAGGGAAAGUUCAGUUUAGGGUUUAAAACCCUAAUGCUGACUGGCUGGAAAGAGUUCAGUUUAGGGUUUAAAACUCUAAUGCUGACUAAAGGGAAAGUUCAGUUUAGGGUUUAAAACCCUAAUACUGACUGGCUGGAAAGAGUUCAGUUUAGGGUUUAAAACCCUAAUGCUGACUAAAGGGAAAGUUCAGUUUAGGGUUUAAAACCCUAAUGCUGACUGAAUGGAAACAAGUUCAGUUUAGGGUUUAAAACCCUAAUGCUGACUAAAGGGAAAGUUCAGUUUAUGGUUUAAAACCCUAAUACUGACUGGCUGGAAAGAGUUCAAUUUAGGGUUUAAAACCCUAAUGCUGACUGAAUGGAAAAAGUUUAGUUUAGGGUUUAAAACCCUAAUACUGACUGAAGGAAAGAGUUCAGUUUAGGGUUUAAAACCCUAAUGCUGACUAAAGGGAAAGUUCAGUUUAGGGUUUAAAACCCUAAUACUGACUGGCUGGAAAGAGUUCAGUUUAGGGUUUAAAACCCUAAUGCUGACUGAAUGGAAAAAGUUCAGUUUAGGGUUUAAAACCCUAAUGCUGACUGAAUGGAAAAAGUUCAGUUUAGGGUUUUAAAACCCUAAUGCUGACUAAAGGAAAGAGUUCAGUUUAGGGUUUAAAACCCUAAUGCUGACUGAAUGGAAAAAGUUCAGUUUAGGGUUUAAAACCCUAAUGCUGACUAAAGGGAAAGAGUUCAGUUUAGGGUUUAAAACCCUAAUACUGACUGAAUGGGAAAAAUUCAGUUUAGGGUUUAAAACCCUAAUGCUGACUAAAGGAAAGAGUUUAGUUUAGGGUAUAAAACCCUAAUGCUGACUGAAUGGAAAAAGUUACAGUUUAGGAUUUAAAACCUUAAUGCUGACUAAAGGAAAGAGUUCAGUUUAGGGUUUAAAACCCUAAUGCUGACUAAAGGGAAAGUUCAGUUUAAGGUUUAAAACCCUAAUGCUGACUGAAAGGAAAGAGUUCAGUUUAGGGUUUAAAACCCUAAUGCUGACUGAAGGAAAAAGUUCAGUUUAGGGUUUAAAACCCUAAUACUGAUUAAAUGAAAAGGUUCAGUUUAGGGUUUAAAACCCUAAUAUUGAUUAAAUGGAAAAAAGUUCAGUUUAGGGUUUAAAACCCUAAUGCUGACUGAAGGAAAAGUUCAGUUUAGGGUUUAAAACCCUAAUGCUGACUGAAGGAAAGAGUUCAGUUUAGGGUUUAAAACCCUAAUGCUGACUGAAGGAAAGAGUUCAGUUUAGUGUUUAAAACCCUAAUGCUGACUGAAGGAAAAAGUUCAGUUUAGGGUUUAAAACCUUAAUACUGAUUAAAGGAAAAGGUUCAGUUUAGAGUUUAAAACCCUAACGCUGACUGAAGGAAAGAGUUCAGUUUAGGGUUUAAAACCCUAAUGCUGACUGAAUGGAAAAGAGUCCAGUUUAGGGUUUAAAACCCUAAUGCUGACUGAAUGGAAAAGAGUUCAGUUUAGGGUAUAAAACCCUAAUGCUGACUAAAGAAAAAGUUCAGUUUAGGGUUUAAAACCCUAAUGCUGACUAAAGGGAAAUUUCAGUUUAAGGUUUAAAACCCUAAUGCUGACUAAAGGAAAGAGUUCAGUUUAGGGUUUAAAACCCUAAUGCUGACUAAAUCGAAAGUUCAGUUUAGAGUUUAAAACCCUAAUGCUGACUGAAUGGAAAAAGUUCAGUUUAGGGUUUAAAACCCUAAUGCUGACUAAAGGAAAGAGUUCAGUUUAGGGUUUAAAACCCUAAUGCUGACUGAAUGGAAAAGAGUUCAGUUUAGGGUUUAAAACCCUAAUGCUGACUGGAUGGAAAAGAGUUUAGUUUAGGGUUUAAAACCCUAAUGCUGACUCUGACUACAGGAAAAAGUUCAGUUUAGGGUUUAAAACCCUAAUGCUGACUGAAUGGAAAAGAGUCCAGUUUAGGGUUUAAAGCCCUAAUGCUGACUAAAGGAAAAAGUUCAGUUUAGGGUUUAAAACCCUAAUGCUGACUAAAGGAAAGAGUUCAAUUUAGGGUUUAAAACCCUAAUGCUGACUGAAUGGAAAAAGUUCAGUUUUGGGUUUAAAACCCUAAUGCUGACCGAAUGGAAAAGAGUUCAGUUUAGGGUUUAAAACCCUAAUUCUGACUGAAUGGAAAAAGUUCAGUUUAGGGUUUAAAACCUUAAUGCUGACUAAAGGAAAGAGUUCAGUUUAGGGUUUAAAACCCUAAUGCUGACUAAAGGGAAAGUUCAGUUUAAGGUUUAAAACCCUAAUGCUGACUAAUGGAAAGAGUUCAGUUUAGGGUUUAAAACCCUAAUGCUGACUAAAGGGAAAGUUCAGUUUAGGGUUUAAAACCCUAAUACUUACUAGCUGGAAAGAGUUCAGUUUAGGGUUUAAAACCCUAACGCUAACUGAAUGGAAAAAGUUCAGUUUAGGGUUUAAAACCCUAAUGCUGACUACAAGAAAAGUUCAGUUUAGGGUUUAAAACCCUAAUGCUGACUGAAUGAAAAAGUUCAGUUUCGGGUUUAAAACCCUAAUGCUGACUGAAGGGAAAGUUCAGUUUAGGGUUUAAAACCCUAAUGCUGACUAAAGGAAAGUGUUCAAUUUAGGGUUUAAAACCCUAAUGCUGACUGGAUGGAAAAGAGUUCAGUUUAGGGUUUAAAACCCUAAUGCUGACUGGAUGGAAAAGAGUUCAGGUUAGGGUUUAAAACCCUAAUGCUGACUCUGACUACAAGAAAAAGUUAUGUUUAGGGUUUAAAACCCUAAUGCUGACUAAAUGGAAAAGAGUUCAGUUUAGGGUAAAAAACCCUAAUGCUGACUAAAGGAAAAGUUCAGUUUAGGGUUUAAAACCCUAAUGCUGACUAAAGGAAAAGUUCAGUUUAGGGUUUAAAACCCUAAUGCUGACUAAAGGAAAGAGUUCAGUUUAGGGUUUAAAACCCUAAUGCUGACUGAAUGGAAAAAGUUCAGUUUAGGGUUUAAAACCCUAAUGCUGACUAAAGGAAAGAGUUCAGUUUAGGGUUUAAAACCCUAAUGAUGACAGAAUGGAAAAAGUUCAGUUUAGGGUUUAAAACCUUAAUGAAGACUAAAGGAAAGAAU
rnacentral:lncRNA from 1 species